rnacentral:rRNA from 1 species
CGGAAUCUGCCUAUUUGUGGGGGAUAACGUAGGGAAACUUACGCUAAUACCGCAUACGACCUACGGGUGAAAGCGGAGGACCUUCGGGCUUCGCGCAGAUAGAUGAGCCGAUGUCGGAUUAGCUAGUUGGCGGGGUAAUGGCCCACCAAGGCGACGAUCCGUAGCUGGUCUGAGAGGAUGAUCAGCCACACUGGAACUGAGACACGGUCCAGACUCCUACGGGAGGCAGCAGUGGGGAAUAUUGGACAAUGGGCGCAAGCCUGAUCCAGCCAUGCCGCGUGGGUGGAGAAGGCCUUCGGGUUGUAAAGCCCUUUUGUUGGGAAAGAAAAGCAGUCGGUUAAUACCCGAUUGUUCUGACGGUACCCAAAGAAUAAGCACCGGCUAACUUCGUGCCAGCAGCCGCGGUAAUACGAAGGGUGCAAGCGUUACUCGGAAUUACUGGGCGUAAAGCGUGCGUAGGUGGUUUGUUAAGUCUGAUGUGAAAGCCCUGGGCUCAACCUGGGAAUUGCAUUGGAUACUGGCAGGCUAGAGUGCGGUAGAGGGUAGUGGAAUUCCCGGU